rnacentral:misc_RNA from 1 species
CGCCGCACACAUGCUCUUCACUUCCAAACUCUUCAGUCUCCUUUACUUUCCCUCACUUUCUCCCUCCAAAUCCUCGCUUCCCCUCAUCGGUUUCUCCGACAGCGCGUCAAAACGGCCCCGUUCUGCUCGCUCUUGACCCUGUCGUUCCAGAUCGCGAGGUAUGUGCCGUUGGUUGUUAUCAAUUUGCUCGCUGUGAGGUCUAACUAUUGGUUAUGGAUGCUGUGGAGUUGAAUUA